ensembl:lncRNA
GAAUCUAAUGAGCGGAGCUACUAAUGUUCUAAUAUCUGACUGCAGAGCUGCCACGGAGACGAGACGUCAGCGACGUGUUUGUCGGUCUGUUCGGGCGCAGAGAUGUCGACUCGGGUGAGUCGGAUAUCGCUAAAGGCCUCGCUGCGUGGAGACGAGAGAGACGGGGCGGAGUCUUCUCAAACAACCGAAGACUCAGAUAUCGUCGUCCCACCUGAAGCGCCGCCUUAACGACGACGUGGAAUUCGAGAGCGACGGUUCUGAUCUCUCCGCCUGGAGUUUACGUUUUUUAUUUUUCACGUGAAGAUUUAAAUGGAGUUUAUUUUACAUCUGAUUUUUCUUCUGAAGGUUUUUUUUUUUUUUUUUUUUAAAUCUAGUGCAACAUAACUGAAAAAUAUCAGUAUUACGAGGUCAUAAGGUCAAUACAUCAUUUCAUCUCUACAGGUCUAGGUAGGAUCCCUUACAGGCUUGCGGGUUCAAAAAAGUAUUGGCACCCACCCCAUAAAUAAAUAUAAGCCAAAAAAAACAUAACUAUAGAAUAAACGCGAGACACGGUGACUUUUCCACUCAAACGCUUACAUAAUGGGAUUUUUAUAUGGAAAAAAAAAAAAUUUGUUGCAAAAUUAUUGGCACCCCAACCAAAAAAUGUACAGCAAUCAUCAGUCUUUGAAAAAACACAUAGUAGUUGUUAUAUUUAAAUUGGUCUGAGUCCACACUCACUCAUUUCCUGCUAAUAGAGAAGUAUAACAAAAAUUAACUCAGUCAUCCAUCAGCAUGAAGAAAAAAACAAACAAAGCUACAGGUUUCAAUAUAAAUUACAGAGAGUUAUUGGUCUGCACAAUAAACGCGGUAAUAGACAUAAUAAAAAGAAAACGUUAUAAAUAUAGAACAGUUUAAAAUUAGCCACGGAUUGGGUCUAUGAUCCGUCAAGUCCCAGACCCCAAAACAGGGUUGCCUCUGCAAGUAGGUUAAGACUUGACCAUAGAUGGUUCUUUCAACAAGUCGAUGAUCCAAGGAACACUUCAAUCAAAACAGAAAAGGUUGUAGAACACAAUUGUGCGAACUCAGUCUCCG